rnacentral:rRNA from 1 species
UACGGAGGAUCCAAGCGUUAUCCGGAUUUAUUGGGUUUAAAGGGUGCGUAGGCGGCUUGUUAAGUCAGGGGUGAAAUUUUUCGGCUCAACCGGAAACUUGCCUUUGAUACUGAUGAGCUUGAAUACACUAGAGGUAGGCGGAAUGUGACAAGUAGCGGUGAAAUGCAUAGAUAUGUCACAGAACACCGAUUGCGAAGGCAGCUUACUAUGGUGUCAUUGACGCUGAGGCACGAAAGCGUGGGGAUCAAACAGG